GAUGUGGUGGUGAAGGAGAUAUCUUGUUGGUACUGCUACUCUAGUCGUGGGCAGUAUGUUGCUGAGGAACUUGGAGCACGGGCAGAAGGCUCAGAGAAGGGAAUUUAUUAGAUUGUGAAUCUCAGCGGCAUAGCAAGAAAAAAAAAGAAAACCUCAGUCAAAGAAAAAUACAGUAAAGCCCCAGAGGCCAAGUGUCAAAGGACAGAUCAAAUAUUUCUUUGAGAUUUUUACAAUCCAUGGCAUCAGAACAUGAGUGAGGGAAAUGGCUCCACUGUUGACAUCACCCAUCUAUUCUGCCUCGCAUCCUGAUUAAUGAUGUUAGCAGCUACCUGAAGAAAUGACAUCCAUCUUGACAUUCCUGAGCCUGGCAGCCGAGGGUGUCAAGGAGGCGGAACAGUCUGAAAAAAAGAUGCAUCACUGACAGGCUCCAUGUCGAGAAGUGAGGUAAAUCCUCAGCACCAACAGGUUAUGGGCCCAGGAGGGAACUUGGAAGCCGAUGACACCGAUUAUAUUUCGGCGAAGAUGAAAAGAGCAGCACAUAGGAAGUCCUCAGCUGCAUUCAGACUGAAAACAGCCCCGUGUGAAACAAGGUUUAAAGUGCCAGUGAGACAAUGAAAUACGAUCCAGAAAGUCCAGUUGGAGUAACAGAUUAUUGUGUUUAAAAGCUGAUCAGAAAAACACAGCACAGCGGUGUGUAAUACUCACAGACUGGACUUUACAACUCUGGAAAGUUAUCACACUGCAGCCCUGUUUGACAGCAUGCACAUGUGGAAUGUGUCUGUGUCCGUGGACCUCUGAAAAAAGUAUGAAUGGAAAGGCGUGCGUGUCCAUGGUCCACGUGCAAGUCUGCAGCUGUCCACGGAUGUGGAAAGUUGAAUUGCCCUGUACGAGUUAUGGGAGACAAAGUUUUUGGGCCAUCUGCAGUUGCCAGGGCUAAAGGGGACCAUAGUGAAUGAGCCAGAGCCUAAUGAGGAGGAGGAGGAAGAGAACGAGGAUGCUAAGAAAAAUGAAGAAGCCUGUGCUGAAUUGAUACAGGUUUUGGAUGAGAAAAGUCCUUCCCUGAUUAUGAGAGAAGCAGUGGACAAUGGGAGAAAAGCUUUGCAGAUAUUGAGGGACCAUUACACAGGUAGCCAUGUGUUAUUAGAGUCUAAUAUCUCUCCAGAAAGCCACCAACCAGAGCGUUAGGGACUACAUCAUUCAUGCAGAGACAGUAAUUACAGCACUGACAAAUGCUGAAGAGACUCUUAGUGACAGGCUGUUGAUUGCAAUGAUUCUGAAAGGUUUGCCUGAAUCAUUUAAGCCAUAGAGGGCUCAGAGAUAACCUGCUACAGCCAGAAAGUGCAUAAGGUACAGGAAUGCACUGGCAAAUUGCAGACGAAAAAGGAGAGACAAUGUGAAACAAGCAACUGACACUGAAGACCACACAUUUGCAUUGAAAAUAAGGUUUGUGUAUUGAAAAAGAGAGGGCUAAUGGUUGAUACGGGAGUAAAGUCACAUACAAUCACAGACAUUGGGAAGUUUAAGAAACUUGGUGAGACCUUCCAGCCAGAAAAACACUUCCUGGUGUUGGCUGAUGGAACAAGAAUGAACGGUGUUGCAUUGAGGAGAGGUGAUGCAAAGGUCUGCCUGAAAGACAGGGGGGGUCAGCGGGUGAAUACAACACUGACAAAGGCACUGUACAUAUGAUUAUAUGCACAGGACAUUUUCUCUAUCAAAGCAGCAACAGCCGACGGGCCUUCAGUCAACUUUUGACAACAGUGUGACCAGCUCAUCCACAAGUUUGACAUCAAAGAGUACGAUAGACUUUACUAUCUAGAUACUGUAAAUGAUGAAGAUGAUGAUGGAUGUCAUGGGUGUUAUGAUAUUCAAACGUGGCACGAAAUUCUUGGUCACUGUAAUUAUGAUGAUAUGUCAGAGUUGAAGAAUGUAACAGAGGGAAUGAACAUCAAGGGUUUAUUGAUGAGUCUAGCCUAAACUGUGAAGUCUGCACAAAAGGGAACUUUGCUCAGAAUAGGAACCGAGAGACCGAUGAAAGAGCAAAAGCAGCACUUGAGCUUGUACACACUGAUUUGGCUGGCCCUAUAGAGCCAGAGGCAAAAGAUGGGUUUAGAUACACUCAAGCAUUUACUGAUGAUUAUCAAGGGUAGUGUUUGUGUACUUCCUGAAAGCAAAGAGUGAUACUGUCAAAGCCACUGAAAAGUUAAUUACUGACUUAGUCCCUUAUGGGAAAAUCAAGUGUAUUAGGUCAGAUAAUGGCACAGAUUCACAGCAAAAGACUUCCAGUCAUUGGUUAGUAAGAAUGCCAUAAGACAUGAGAAUUCAGCACCUACUCACCCCAUCAACAUGGGACUGCUGAGAGAAAUUGGAGAAAACUGUUUGAAAUGGUAGGAUGUAAGCUACUUGAGAGCAACUAACCAAAGACGUUAUGGAGAUAUGCUGUAAUUACUGCUGCACUAAUUCACAACAGGUGCUACUACAGACAUGUAGGAAAGACUCCACACUACAUUUUGACAGGGAGGAAGUCUAAUCUUCAUCAAAGAUGAAGGUAUUUGACUGUAAGACAAGUGAACAGAAACUAAACUUUGAUGGUGAUGGUGAACCUAUUGAUCCAAAAAGAUAUUGUGAAGUGGUAGACAGCUUGACAUACGUAUGUAAUGACAUGUACAAGACCUGAUCUAAGUUGGAUUGUCAGCAAGCUGUCACAAUACUCAUCAGAGCCAAAGGAACAACACUGCAUAACUGCCGGACAUGUGUUGAGGUACUUGGAGGGCACAAUAAACCAGGAGUUGUGUUGCAAGAACAGAAAGGAAAAACUCAAACUUGUAGCAUAUAGUGACGCUGAUUGGGCAGCAGAUCAAAAUUACAGACGAAGCACAACAGGGUACCCCUUU